CACGGGGGUUGGAGGGCAAGUUUGGUGCCAGCAGCCGCGGUAAUUCCAGCUCCAAUAGCGUAUAUUAAAGUUGUUGCAGUUAAAAAGCUUGUAGUUGAAUUUCGGGAUCAGUAGGUUGGUCAUGCCUAUGGUAUGUACUGGCUUUACUGGUUCCUCCUUCUUGAUGAUCUGUAAUGUCAUUAAUUUGGUGUUGCAGGGAGUCAGGACUGUUACUUUGAAAAAAUUAGAGUGUUUAAAGCAGGCAUACGCUUGAAUACAUUAGCAUGGAAUAAUGAAAUAGGACGUUCGAUCCUAUUUUGUUGGUUUCUAGGAUUGACGUAAUGAUUAAUAGGGAUAGUUGGGGGCAUUAGUAUUCAAUUGUCAGAGGUGAAAUUCUUGGAUUUAUUGAAGACUA
rnacentral:rRNA from 1 species